GCAACCGGGGCUGACGAUGGAGUAGGACUCGGAUAAAAGAAACAGAAAAGGGAUUCAAAAAGGGGUCCUCUAGUGGUCUCUCCUGCCGCUCUCGAUCAUAGCGGCCACCAGCCUUGACGCUGCUCCUGGUCCUGCAUUCCUCUGUCCCCGGGCCCAGUGGAACAGCAUGUCCAGCACCAAGGCUCCCAGGUUGUCCCUGGAUGCGUCACCAGAGGGUUUUUUUAGCAUGAGGAGCAGGGGGAGGGACAGAUGAGCAUCAGUCUGUGUGUAAUCUCCUGCAGUGUCCCAGAUGGCUUAGUGAUGGCUGACAGUGCAGAUUAAAACAAUCAAAAUCCUCUAUCAUUUCUCUCCCCCUGCGGUUUUCCUUCAC